UACCCUUGACAUGUCCGAGAGCCUGCUGAAAGGUGGGUGUGCCCGAAAGGGAAUCGGAACACAGGUGCUGCAUGGCUGUCGUCAGCUCGUGUCGUGAGAUGUUGGGUUAAGUCCCGGCAACGAGCGCAACCCUUGUCCCUAGUUGCUACGCAAGGGCACUCUAGGGAGACUGCCGGUGACAAACCCGGAGGAAGGUGGGGAUGACGUCAAGUCCUCAUGGCCCUUAUGGGUAGGGCUUCACACG
rnacentral:rRNA from 1 species